AGGAUGAACGCUGGCGGCGUGCCUAAUACAUGCAAGUCGAGCGGUAAGGCUACUUCGGUAGUACACGAGCGGCGGACGGCUGAGUAACACGUAGGAACGUACCCCAAAGUGAGGCAUAAGCAACCAGAAAUGGUGUCUAAUACCGCAUGUGAUCUUCGGAUUAAAGCUUCGGCGCUUUGGGAACGGCCUGCGCAUGAUUAGCUUGUUGGUGAGGUAAUAGCUCACCAAGGCGACGAUCAUUAGCUGGUCUGAGAGGAUGACCAGCCAGACUGGGACUGAGAACGGCCCAGACUCCUACGGGAGGCAGCAGUAGGGAAUUUUCCACAAUGGGCGAAAGCCUGAUGGAGCAACGCCGCGUGCAGGAUGAAGGCUCUCGGGUCGUAAACUGCUUUUAUAUGUGAAGAUUAUGACGGUAGCAUAUGAAUAAGGAUCGGCUAACUCCGUGCCAGCAGCCGCGGU
rnacentral:rRNA from 1 species